GGUGGAUGGGGUGGGGGAGCAGCCGGUGUCCUUUGCUGACCAAUUCAGCAGCCGUGCAUAUGGCUAAGACCUUCCUGGCUUCCUUCCUGGCUCCAGCUCCCAGACUUGUCCCCGCACCGCUUCUUCCAAUCCCUUCAUUCACGGCUUCCUGCCUCCAGGUCUAGUUGUUGGCAUAGUUGCCCCAAACUAGGCGGCCAGGGCUGCUACCCCUAGAGGUCUAGGAGGGGAUGGAAGCCCCGGGCUAAGUUCAGAGGAGGUUGUCCAGGCACCAUUGUUGCAACCCCCACCCCCAGGCCACCAUACCUGCUGCCACUGCCGGUGUGCUUAGCUCCUCUGCGGGGUGUUGCCCGACUACUCCCGAAUUAUGUUGUUGUUUUACUGCUUCUGAAAUUCCUAAAUCCAAGAUCCAAUCCCCUGGGAACCCUUAGAAGAAAAAGAAUUCUUCCAGAAUUCCAGCCCUACGUGGCUAAACCUGGGGUGAUGUGCUCGUGGUAGGCAGUGACAUGAUUCAUGGUCUCUAAUGAAUCUCUCCUCCCUGCAUCUAGGACCUGGAGUCAUCUCCUCCCACGUUGAUGUGGAGCCGGGCCACGUGACUCGCACUGGCCUAUGUGCACCAGCACAGGUGACCCAGGCAGAGGCUUGAUAAGCACAGAUACACGGGCAUCUGUCCUUGUCUACCGGAGUGGUCAUAUGGAGCCAGGGAGCCCCACACAUUUGAAUGGGGCCUUCUCAGACCCAAUUGCCUCAUGAGGAACCCCACAGAGGACUGCCUGGCUGAGCCCAGAAUGGGUGACGCCGCCCCCGGUGACUUCCCGCAGAGCGAGGAGACCAGCGUGCUAGAGCAAGCCCUGACACCUCGCGACGGCCUUCCUGGGGCGCCGCACAGAGCCCAGCGAGAAGCUGUGCACAUUGAGAAGAUCAUGUUGAAAGGAGUCCAGAGAAAAAGGGCUGACAAAUAUUGGGAGUACACCUUCAAAGUAAAUUGGUCUGAUCUUUCAGUCACAACAGUAACAAAAACCCACCAAGAACUACAGGAAUUUCUACUGAAGCUCCCAAAGGAAGUGUCUUCGGAGACUUUUGAUAAGACCAUCCUAAGAGCCCUGAAUCAGGGUUCACUGAAGAGGGAAGAACGGCGACAUCCUGACCUAGAGCCCAUCCUAAGGCAGCUAUUUUCAACUUCAUCCCAAGCUUUUCUACAGAGUCAGAAAGUGCACAGCUUCUUUCAGUCCAUAUCACCAGACCCUCUGCACAGCCUCAAUAACUUCCAGUCCUCUCUGAAGACUUCAAAAAUAUUAGAACACUUAAAGGAAGACAGCUCAGAAGCUUCAAGUCAAGAAGAAGAUGUGUUACAACACACCGUAAUCCACAAGAAACACACCGGGAAGAGUCCCCUUGUGAACACCAUCGGUACAAGUUGUUCUCCGUUGGAUGGGCUCACUGUGCAGUAUUCUGAGCAGAAUGGAGUUGUGGAUUGGAGGAAGCAGAGCUGCCCCCCUCUUCAGCACCCGGAGCACUGUGUGGCCUUAGCUGACCAGCAUUCAACCGAAAAACGAAGCUUAUCUUCAAUAAAUAAGAAGAAAGGAAAGCCACAAAUAGAAAAGGAGAAAAUUAAGAAAACUGACAACAGAUUGAAUAGUAGAAUAAAUGGGAUCAGAUUGUCUGCUUCUCAGCAUGCCCACGGUGGUUCCGUGAAAGAUGUGAACUUGGAUGUUGGAUCUGGACGUGACACGUGUGGAGAGACCUCUUCAGAGAGCUACAGCUCUCCCUCGAGUCCACGGCAUGAUGGGAGAGAGAGCUUUGAAAGCGAAGAAGAGAAAGACCGAGACACAGACAGCAAUUCUGAGGAUUCUGGGAAUCCGUCAACAACCAGGUUUACGGGCUACGGUUCUGUCAACCAGACCGUCACUGUCAAGCCACCUGUUCAGAUUGCUUCAUUAGGAAGCGACAACGGAGGCCUUUUAGAAGAUGCCCUAAAUGCACCCAAGUAUCAGCAUAUUUCUUUUAUGCCAACUUUACACUGUGUCAUGCACAACGGUGCCCAGAAGUCUGACGUCGGUGUCCCUCCACCCAAGUCCGCUGACGGCAAGACCAUAGGGAUGCUUGUUCCCAGUCCUGUUGCUAUUUCUGCAAUAAGGGAGUCUGCAAACUCUACCCCUGUUGGAGUACUGGGGCCAGCAGCUUCUGCCGGAGAACCCGAGAAACACCUGGAGUUACUGGCUUCCCCUUUGCCUCUUCCGUCAGCGUUCCUCGCACACGGCAGCGCCCCUGCUCUGCACCUGACAAUUCAGAGGCUAAAGUUGCCGCCACCGCAGGGGUCCUCGGAGAGCUGCCCGGUCAACAUCCCACAGCAGCCGCCCGCAAGUCUGAGCAUCGGAUCACCAAACACUGCCUUUCUCCCUGUCCACAGCCCGGGGAGCUUUCCGGGGUCUCCCAUUGCUACCACGGACCCCAUCGCCAAGUCUGCGUCCCCGGUGGUAGGACUCAAUCAAAUGGUGCCUCAACUCGAGGGAAGCACCGGGACAGUCCCUCAGCCCAGCAAUGUGAAGGUUGUUGUCCCCGCAGCCGGCCUCUCGGCUGCACAGCCACCAGCAUCCUACACCCUGCCGGGGCCCCCCCUUGGCACCGGCGCGCUGCCCAGCCAGAGCUCCGGCGCGCUCAGCCCAGCNNNNNNNNNNNNNNNNNNNNNNNNNNNNNNNNNNNNNNNNNNNNNNNNNNNNNNNNCCCCCGCGGUCCCCACCCACACCCCGGGCCCCGCGCCCAGCCCGAGCCCCGCGCUCACCCACAGCACCGCGCAGAGCGACAGCACGUCCUACAUCAGCGCCGUGGGGAACACGAACGCUAACGGGACAGUCCUGCCGCCGCAGCAGAUGGGCUCGGGGCCCUGCGGCUCUUGCGGGCGACGGUGCGGCUGUGGGACCAACGGCAGCCUUCAGCUGAACAGCUACUACUAUCCUAACCCGAUGCCCGGGCCCAUGUACCGGGUCCCGUCCUUCUUCACUCUGCCGUCCCUCUGCAACGGCAGCUACCUCAACCAAGCACAUCAGAGCAAUGGAAACCAACUUCCUUUCUUUCUGCCUCAGACUCCGUAUGCAAACGGACUGGUGCACGACCCCGUCCUGGGGAGCCAAGCCAGCUACGGCAUGCAGCAGAUGGCGGGCUUCGGGAGGUUCUACCCCGUGUACCCAGCGCCCGGCGUGGUUGCCAGUGCGAGCGGUUCGGGGCCCAAGAAGAACGGGAACGUCUCCUGUUACAACUGCGGUGUGAGUGGACACUACGCACAGGAGUGCAAGCAGUCGUCCAUGGAGGCCAGCCCACAAGGCACUUACAGACUGAGAUACGCACCUCCCCUCCCCCCUUCUAAUGAUACGUUGGAUUCUGCAGACUGAACCACGUAAAGCUUGACUGCUUAAUACCCUGACGUGUUGGGGAGUCAUGGUGGGGUGUGGAGGGGAGGAAAGGAAAGGUAUUUUGUGUGUGUUUCUUUGUCUGUACAUUUCCUAGAUUUCUAUGCACUUGGGAUUUUUCAUUUCUGUUGUACUGAUGUCCAAAUCAAAAAAAAUGCAUUGCUUUUGAGCCUCUGGUCUCCUGGUUCAACAACAGGCCUAUCUGUAUGAAACAUGUAAUUUAAACCUCCACACUAUCAAAAGGAACAUGUUUGCUGUGCUUUUUUUUUACACUGAAUACUUGCUGUGUGCAAUGUUUACUGAAUCUUUAAAACUGUGUAUUUGACCUUUUUUUUUUUUUUACAACACUGGUGACAGUCAUAUGGUUUUCAAAAAGAGAAACUGCUCCUUCCCAGCUUUUCUCACUUUCACCCCAAAGGACACACGUCUCCCCGUCACCCCCUCUCCUGUGGCCUGUAAAUCCAGGGUGAAGUGCUUCACCUUCAACUGAGGAGAAAUCAAGUUCCCCAAGUUGUGUGUAUAUAAUAAACAGCAUCCCGUGAAUACA
ensembl:lncRNA